UACGUAGGGUGCGAGCGUUAAUCGGAAUUACUGGGCGUAAAGCGUGCGCAGGCGGUUUGUAAGUCAGAUGUGAAAUCCCCGGGCUUAACCUGGGAACUGCGUUUGAAACUACAAGGCUAGAGUGUGGCAGAGGGGGGUGGAAUUCCGCGUGUAGCAGUGAAAUGCGUAGAUAUGCGGAGGAACACCGAUGGCGAAGGCAAUCCCCUGGGCCUGCACUGACGCUCAUGCACGAAAGCGUGGGGAGCAAACAGG
rnacentral:rRNA from 1 species